AGUGAACGCUGGCGGUAGGCCUAACACAUGCAAGUCGAACGGCAGCACAGUAAGAGCUUGCUCUUACGGGUGGCGAGUGGCGGACGGGUGAGGAAUACAUCGGAAUCUACUUUUUCGUGGGGGCUAACGUAGGGAAACUUACGCUAAUACCGCAUACGACCUACGGGUGAAAGCAGGGGAUCUUCGGACCUUGCGCGAUUGAAUGAGCCGAUGUCGGAUUAGCUAGUUGGCGGGGUAAAGGCCCACCAAGGCGACGAUCCGUAGCUGGUCUGAGAGGAUGAUCAGCCACACUGGAACUGAGACACGGUCCAGACUCCUACGGGAGGCAGCAGUGGGGAAUAUUGGACAAUGGGCGCAAGCCUGAUCCAGCCAUACCGCGUGAGUGAAGAAGGCCUUCGGGUUGUAAAGCCCUUUUGUUGGGAAAGAAAAGCAGCAGGUUAAUACCCCGCUGUUCUGACGGUACCCAAAGAAUAAGCACCGGCUAACUUCGUG
rnacentral:rRNA from 1 species